rnacentral:rRNA from 1 species
UCGAAGCAACGCGAAGAACCUUACCAGGUCUUGACAUACUCGUGCUAUUCCUAGAGAUAGGAAGUUCCUUCGGGACACGGGAUACAGGUGGUGCAUGGUUGUCGUCAGCUCGUGUCGUGAGAUGUUGGGUUAAGUCCCGCAACGAGCGCAACCCCUAUUGUUAGUUGCCAUCAUUAAGUUGGGCACUCUAACGAGACUGCCGGUGAUAAACCGGAGGAAGGUGGGGAUGACGUCAAAUCAUCAUGCCCCUUAUGACCUGGGCUACACACGUGCUACAAUGGAUGGUACAACGAGUCGCGAGACAGUGAUGUUUAGCUAAUCUCUUAGAACCAUUCUCAGUUCGGAUUGUAGGCUGCAACUCGCCUACAUGAAGUCGGAAUCGCUAGUAAUCGCGGAUCAGCACGCCGCGGUGAAUACGUUCCCGGGCCUUGUACACACCGCCCGUCACACCACGGGAGUUGGGAGUACCCGAAGUAGGUUGCCUAACCGCAAGGAGGGCGCUUCCUAAGGUAAGACCGAUGACUGGGGUGAAGUCGUAACAAGGUACCAGUAUC